GGGGAUUUAGCUCAGUGGUAGAGCGAUUGCCUAGUAAGCGCAAGGCCCUGGGUUCGGUCCCCAGCUCCG
rfam:Rattus norvegicus chromosome 4, whole genome shotgun sequence.